rnacentral:misc_RNA from 1 species
UUUCUCUCACUUGAAAUAUUUUUUUCAUUGGUUAGAAAUAGUAUUAGAGUUAUAACAUGCCUUUGUAUAGUCUAUGGAUUACCCUAUGGUUGCAUUCAUGAACCUUAUUUCUUUGUCGUUUAUUUAGCUUUUGAAUGAUAAAUGUUGGCAUUGAUGAUCUGUAUCUUGAAGAAUUUCAGACAUCUUAUCAAUUAGUAUAUGUUAG